GUGAGGAAUUUUCCGCAAUGGGCGAAAGCCUGACGGAGCAAUGCCGCGUGAAGGAUGAAGGCCUAUGGGUUGUAAACUUCUUUUCUCAGAAAAGAAUUAUGACGGUAUCUGAGGAAUAAGCAUCGGCUAACUCUGUGCCAGCAGCCGCAGUAAGACAGAGGAUGCAAGCGUUAUCCGGAAUGAUUGGGCGUAAAGCGUCUGUAGGUUGUUUAAAAAGUAUUCUGUCAAAGAUUAGGGCUUAACCCUAGAUAGGCAGAAUAAACUUUUAAGCUAGAGUUUGGUAGAGGCAGAGGGAAUUCCCGGUGGAGCGGUGAAAUGCGUAGAUAUCGGGAGGAACACCAAAGGCGAAGGCACUCUGCUGGGCCAAUACUAACACUGAGAGACGAAAGCGAGGGGAGCAAAUGGGAUUAGAAACCCGUGUAGUCA
rnacentral:rRNA from 1 species